rnacentral:rRNA from 1 species
AGAGUUUGAUCCUGGCUCAGGAUGAACGCUGGCGGCGUGCCUAACACAUGCAAGUCGAACGAGAAGCUAACUUCUGAUUCCUUCGGGAUGAUGAGGUUAGCAGAAAGUGGCGAACGGGUGAGUAACGCGUGGGUAAUCUACCCUGUAAGUGGGGGAUAACCCUCCGAAAGGAGGGCUAAUACCGCAUAAUAUCUUCUCCUCUUAAAGAGGUAAAGAUUAAAGAUGGCCUCUAUACUAUGCUAUCGCUUCAGGAUGAGCCUGCGUCCUAUUAGUCAGUUGGUGGGGUAAUGGCCUACCAAGACCACAAUGGGUAGCCGGUCUGAGAGGAUGUACGGCCACACUGGGACUGAGAUACGGCCCAGACUCCUACGGGAGGCAGC